rnacentral:lncRNA from 1 species
AGAAAAGCCUGCGGCAGGGCCGAUUCAUUCGUGGCGGCAGACAGUGUCUGUAAGGUACCGGACUUCUAAAACUAUGAAGUUACGGUAUACAUUUAAAUGGUUCCGGUGAGAUUGUGGUGGAAUGUAAUAUACCGAAUUUUUAAGUAUAAAGGUAAAAAUAAAUAAAAAUAGUAUGAGAUACUAUUUUAUUGAGUUUAGAGAAGUGAAAUAUAGAUUGGAAAUGACCUGUGCUGAAAUCGGAGCGAAAGCGGAAGAUUUAGAAUUUUCUGUGAGAAAUGGGGCAGAUAAAUUAGCAGAAAAUGCACAGUGUCAGAAAAUUAUGAAAACUGGAGGAUAUGUCAGAAAUAUUUUUAUGAGACUAGAUUUAAAGUUUCAUACCAUUCUGACACCCGUAGAGUGAGAAAUAAAAUCCGACAAUUAUCUAAUUAAGAUUACAGUUCAGCACAGUUUUCGGUGACCAAACGGGGUCGAAACUGAGAACUUAGGAUAUAUUCUUACUCAGUACGUUAAACUG